UGGGGAAUAUUGCACAAUGGGCGCAAGCCUGAUGCAGCCAUGCCGCGUGUGUGAAGAAGGCCUUCGGGUUGUAAAGCACUUUCAGCGGGGAGGAAGGCGAUAAGGUUAAUAACCUUGUCGAUUGACGUUACCCGCAGAAGAAGCACCGGCUAACUCCGUGCCAGCAGCCGCGGUAAUACGGAGGGUGCAAGCGUUAAUCGGAAUUACUGGGCGUAAAGCGCACGCAGGCGGUCUGUCAAGUCGGAUGUGAAAUCCCCGGGCUUAACCUGGGAACUGCAUUCGAAACUGGCAGGGUAGAGUCUUGUAGAGGGGGGUAGAAUUCCAGGUGUAGCGGUGAAAAGCGUAGAGAUCUGGGGGAAUACCGGUGGCGAAGGCGGCCCCCUGGACAAAGACUGACGCUCAGGUGCGAAAGCGUGGGGAGCAAACAGG
rnacentral:rRNA from 1 species